GACGAACGCUGGCGGCGUGCUUAACACAUGCAAGUCGAACGGAAAGGCCCUGCUUUUGUGGGGUGCUCGAGUGGCGAACGGGGGAGUAACACGUGAGUAACCUGCCCUUGACUUUGGGAUAACUUCAGGAAACUGGGGCUAAUACCGGAUAGGAGCUCCUGCUGCAUGGUGGGGGUUGGAAAGUUUCGGCGGUUGGGGAUGGACUCGCGGGUUAUCAGCUUGUUGGUGGGGUAGGGGCUUACCAAGGCUUUGACGGGUAGCCGGCCUGAGAGGGUGACCGGCCACCUUGGGACUACGAUACGGCCCAGACUCCUACGGGAGGCAGCAGUGGGGAAUAUUGCACAAUGGGCGGAAGCCUGAUGCAGCAACGCCGCGUGCGGGAUGACGGCCUUCGGGUUGUAAACCGCUUUCGCCUGUGACGAAGCGUGAGUGACGGUAAUGGGUAAAGAAGCACCGGCUAACUACGUG
rnacentral:rRNA from 1 species